rnacentral:rRNA from 1 species
UGGGUGAUCUGCCCUGCACUUCGGGAUAAGCCUGGGAAACUGGGUCUAAUACCGGAUAUACCUCAUUGAUCUCCUGGUUGGUGGGGGAAAGCUUUUGCGGUGUGGGAUGGGCCCGCGGCCUAUCAGCUUGUUGGUGGGGUCAUGGUUCACCAAGGCGACGAUGGGUAGCUGGUCUGAGAGGACGAUCAGCCACACUGGGACUGAGACACGGCCUAGACCUCCUACGGGAGCAG